CCUCAUUGAUGAGAACGUUCUGACUUUCGUUCUGAGUUUGCUGAAGCCAGAUGCCAUUUUUGAGAAGG
ensembl:snoRNA